rnacentral:misc_RNA from 1 species
GCACCCUAUUGAGAGGUACUUGUUCGUCACGAGCGGGUUUCUCUCAGAAAACACCUGUGAGCACUGAAAUGAUUUGUGGAUGGAAGAGUGGAGACGGCUUAGGCCUUUGGCCUGCGCUGGUGGAAGCUUUUUCCUUUUUUACUUUUUUAAAACCCCAACAACCUAUCUUUAACAAUUACAAAGACUGAACUGUCUCUUGCCACAAACAAGAGACAACCUUGAUAUUCUAACCAAAGAAA